rnacentral:rRNA from 1 species
GUGGCGAACGGGUGAGUAACGCGUGAGGAACCUGCCUCAAAGAGGGGGACAACAGUUGGAAACGACUGCUAAUACCGCAUAAGCCCACGGCUCGGCAUCGAGCAGAGGGAAAAGGAGUAAUCCGCUUUGAGAUGGCCUCGCGUCCGAUUAGCUAGUUGGUGAGGUAAUGGCCCACCAAGGCGACGAUCGGUAGCCGGACUGAGAGGUUGAACGGCCACAUUGGGACUGAGACACGGCCCAGACUCCUACGGGAGGCAGCAGUGGGGAAUAUUGCACAAUGGGGGAAACCCUGAUGCAGCGACGCCGCGUGGAGGAAGAAGGUCUUCGGAUUGUAAACUCCUGUUGUUGAGGAAGAUAAUGACGGUACUCAACAAGGAAGUGACGGCUAACUACGUGCCAGUAGCCGCGGUAAAACGUAGGUCACAAGCGUUGUCCGGAAUUACUGGGUGUAAAGGGAGCGCAGGCGGGCGAUCAAGUUGGAAGUGAAAUCCAUGGGCUCAACCCAUGAACUGCUUUCAAAACUGAUUGUCUUGAGUAGUGCAGAGGUAGGCGGAAUUCCCGGUGUAGCGGUGGAAUGCGUAGAUAUCGGGAGGAACACCAGUGGCGAAGGCGGCCUACUGGGCACCAACUG